rnacentral:rRNA from 1 species
CAAGGCCUUUACUGACGCUAAAGCUCGAAGGUGCGGGUAUCGAACAGGAUUAGAUACCCUGGUAGUCCGCACGGUAAACGAUGGAUGCCCGCUGUUUGCGAUAUACUGUGAGCGGCCAAGAGAAAUCGUUAAGCAUCCCACCUGGGGAGUACGCCGGCAACGGUGAAACUCAAAGGAAUUGACGGGGGCCCGCACAAGCGGAGGAACAUGUGGUUUAAUUCGAUGAUACGCGAGGAACCUUACCCGGGCUUGAACUGCAGGAGAACGAUUCAGAGAUGAUGAGGUCCUUCGGGACUCCUGUGGAGGUGCUGCAUGGUUGUCGUCAGCUCGUGCCGUGAGGUGUCGGCUUAAGUGCCAUAACGAGCGCAACCCCUUUCGUUAGUUGCCAUCAGGUAAUGCUGGGCACUCUGGCGAUACUGCCACCGUAAGGUGUGAGGAAGGUGGGGAUGACGUCAAAUCAGCACGGCCCUUACGUCCGGGGCUACACACGUGUUACAAUGGGUGGUACAGAGAGCUGGUCGUCUGCAAAUGCGAUCAAAUCCUAAAAGCCAUCCUCAGUUCGGAUUGGGGUCUGCAACCCGACCCCAUGAAGCUGGAUUCG